GGCAGUGGUAGCUUAGUGGGUAAGAUGUUGGACUGCUGAUUUUGAGGUUGUAAGUUCAAAUCCCAGCACUGCCA